UGUAACAUUGGCGAUGGAGUUCGCCAUUGAACGCUGAUAAAGCUGAUGACUCCUGUUAAAAG
rnacentral:ncRNA from 2 species